GCCCCUGAGCAUCCUUGAGCCACUGGAUCUUGGCGCCGGACAUGGCGAGCUGCGUGAAGAGUUUGUCCGCCUCGGUACGGGUGAUGCCCUCAGGGAGAUCUGUCACCUCCAGCACCCGCCCCAGGACUGGAAGGGGAGGAGAGAGGAUAUGGUUGUGAGACGAGUAGGACAGGAAAGACUGGACAGCAGCCCGGCAGAGAAGUGUCCAGCUGACCAAAUCUGUAUACAAUGUUUUCAAAAGUCUGGCCUUUCUCUCUUAGCCCUUUCUUCCCCUUCCCACCAUCCCAGCUCUGAUCAGGGCAACUAGGAGAAAAACAAAUGAACCUUUUUCUCCUAGCCCAGAGAUGUAGGCAAGAAGGGACUAGGAAUCAGAAUCCCGGGUUUCUGAGCUGAGAACCUAUACCUCAGUUCUCUCAUAAGGUGCUAUUGCUAUGAAGAAAAUGUGGCUUUUGCUAAUGUUCUUUAACAAUAAUGUAUCAAUCUGAAAUAUGUUCCAUAGUUCCCUUCCCACUCAGAGGCUGGCUCAAAUAGAUUCUUCCUUCUUAUCAUCUCAGGAAGUCAGUUUCCCUUCCUUUCCUUGUUUAGGAAAUUGCUCCAAAUCCCAAGACAGAUCUUGUUCACCUAGUGGGAGGCUUGCAGGAUGAGCGUUCCUCCCCCAUAUUCUCUACCAAUCUUCUCCUAAACUGGGUCUAGGACUACCAAAGGUAGAUGUUGUAGAUUAGGGACAGGACACUAAUUAGAAAACUCUUUGUUAAUAAGAGGCAACUCCCAUAAUUGUGUUAUUCCCACUUUUUACCAUGAUCUUCCUCACAAUCUGAGAUGGCUUGGUAAGGAGGACUGAGAUACUUCACUUCUCCAAUUUCUGCUUGCUUUUGAGCACAAAGGGUCCCACUUCCACUCCCCAUCCUAAGCUGGCUUUUCCCACUCAUGCUGGACUGGUAAUUAAGGGCUGGAAGGGUGGGCACCUUCUCUUGGGGAUUCAGCAUCCUGUGACUCACCGACAUCUGCUGUCCCCAGGUCAGUGGAGGCAGAUUUGAGUGCUUGUCUCUUGCCCCGGUUUCCAUGCUUCAAUCCACUCUGUCCCUUCAACAUUUGAAAGACGACUCUCAUCCCAUGUAAACAACAUUGACUUGCAUCACAAUGUCUGCCUGAGAGAUUGUGGAGUAGCACCAACCCAGAGGACCCCACCCCACCAGGCAGUCAGGUUGGCCAUGGAGCAGCGACUCAGAAACAAAGAGCCCCUCCCUCUUGGCAUGGGGGUCGGGUGGGAGACAUGAGUACAGGAGCUAGCCCUGAGUGGGAAAGCAGCAAACAAAUCCACCCAUUGCCUCAGGGUCACUCAAGCUACAUCUUGCCAGGAACCUGAGAUGGCUGCUGAUGUGGCUUCUGACUCCAUCUUCUCAAACCAGUAGAAGUUUGAGGGGAAGGGAUAUGAGCCCCAGAUGCCAGUGUUCCCCUGGCCUUCACCUGAUGAGGGGUACUUUGGUAUGCUUGGCAGAAAACUACUCCAUUCUGUCAAUACUGGCUAUAACCAAAUGCCCAGGAGUAGGAUAUCUUCACUAAAUGGAAGACAAAAGAGCAGUCUCAGCUUUGGAAACCCCUCAGCUAAACAAUGAGCCAGUAAAUAUGUGAGAGGCUA